GUCCACGCUGUAAACGAUGAUCACUAGAUGUUAGAUCCGUUUUAGGGUUUAGUAUCGCAGCUAACGCGUUAAGUGAUCCGCCUGGGAAGUACGGUCGCAAGAUUAAAACUUAAAGGAAUUGACGGGGGUCCGCACAAGCGGUGGAACAUGUGGUUUAAUUCGACACUACGCGAGGAACCUUACCUAGGCUUGACAUGCAUUUGACAGAUAUAGAAAUAUAUUUUUCUAGACUUCGGUUUAGACAUUUGCACAGGUGCUGCAUGGCUGUCGU
rnacentral:rRNA from 1 species